UUGGUUGAGAAUUAUAGGGUAAUGAGUUAGGAAAACAAAGCGAGCAGUGGGAGCCGCUCACUGCGCCAACAUUAAUGUGCGCGAGAAUUUCUGGAGGGGUAAUAGGCUGGCCAAGCGUUGACGCUGCUUACUUUGCAGAACUCGCUUGUGCGGGUCUCCC